GGGGGUUACUGUGAGAAGCGAGAUGACACAUGUAAAGCCCUGAACAUAGUCUUAGAUUCACAGGAAGGGCCCGUUAACCCAGGCUCAGAUUCAAAGGAAGG